AUGGCCGAAGGAGGAGAUGAGCUGAAGCUGCUGGGGUCAUGGUCGAGUCCGUAUGUCACGAGAGCGAAGCUUGCCCUCGCCGUCAAGGGCCUGAGCUACGAGAACGUCGACGAGGACGUCCACAACAAGAGCGGCCUCCUCCUCGCCUCCAACCCCGUGCACAAGAAGAUCCCCGUGCUCAUCCACAACGGCGUCCCCGUCUGCGAGUCCAUGAUCAUCGUGCAGUACAUCGACGAGGCGUUCGCGGGCACCGGGCCGCCGAUCCUCCCCGCCGACCCCCACGAGCGUGCCGUGGCCCGUUUCUGGGCGGCCUACGUCGACGACAAGCUGGUGUCCCAGUGGACGAACUCGUCCAGGGGCAAGGCGGGGGAGGGCAGAUCCGCCGAGGCGAUGAAGGAGAUGGUGGUGGCCGUGGAGGCCCUGGAGGGGGCCCUGAGGGAGUGCUCCAAGGGGAAGGGCUUCUUCGGCGGCGACGGCGUCGGGCUGGUGGACAUCGCGCUGGGGAGCAUGCACUCGUGGCUGAUGGCGAUCGAGGCCAUGUCCGGCGCCAAGGUGUUCGACCCCGCCAGGACCCCGCUGCUGGCGGCGUGGAUGGAGCGUUUCGGCGCGCUUGAUGCGGCCAGGGCGGUCCUGCCGGACGUCGGCAGGGUGGUCGAGCUCGCCAAGAUCAGGCACGGACAAGCCGCCGCAGCUUCAACUUCAUCAAACAACAAGCAGGAGUAG
rnacentral:rRNA from 1 species